UUGUCUGCGAGAACUUGCCUAAACCUUAUCACUUAGAGGAAGGUGAAGUCGUAACAAGGUUUCCGUAGGUGAACCUGCGGAAGGAUCAU
rnacentral:rRNA from 1 species